rnacentral:rRNA from 1 species
CGUGAAAGCCCGGGGCUCAACUCCGGAUCUGCGUUGGAUACUGCGUAACUAGAGAUGAUGUGAGGGGACUGGAAUUCCUGGUGUAGCGGUGAAAUGCGCAGAUAUCAGGAGGAACACCGAUGGCGAAGGCAGGUCUCUGGGCCUUAACUGACGCUGAAGAGCGAAAGCGUGGGGAGCGAACAGGAUUAGAUACCCUGGUAGUCCAUGCCGUAAACGAUGAGCACUAGGUGUGGGGGACAUUCCACCUUUUCCGUGCCCUAACUAACGCAUUAAAUGCCCCCCCUGGGGAAUACCGCCCCCAGGGUAAAACUCAAAGAAAUUGACGG